GCAGAAGUGCAGCCAAGAUCUUUUGGAAAUCAAGAAUGUAUCAGGAUAUAAAUUUGGAAAACUAAGUGUAGCUCCUUAUUUAGGAAAUUAAGCUUCCAAUU